GCGACAGGACGGAAAGACCCCAUGGAGCUUUACUGUAGCUUGACAUUGGGUCUUGGUACUACAUGUACAGGAUAGGUGGGAGGCUUUGAAACCAGGACACCAGUUUUGGCGGAGCCAUCCUUGGGAUACCACCCUUGUAGUACUGGGACUCUAACACUAGACCGGGAAUCUGGUCUUGGGACACUGUCAGUUGGUCAGUUUGACUGGGUCGUGAGCCUCCCAAAAGGUAACGGAGGCGCUCAAAGGUUCUCUCAGUACGGUCGGAAAUCGUACGUAGAGUGUAAAGGCAAAAGAGAGCUUGAUUGCAAGACAUACAGGUCGAGCAAGGAUGAAAAUCGGACUUAGUGAUCCGGUGGUUCUGCGUGGAAGGGCCAUCGCUCAACGGAUAAAAGCUACCCUGGGGAUAACAGGCUUAUCUCCCCCAAGAGUCCACAUCGACGGGGAGGUUUGGCACCUCGAUGUCGGCUCAUCACAUCCUGGGGCUGUAGUAGGUCCCAAGGGUUGGGCUGUUCGCCCAUUAAAGUGGUACGCGAGCUGGGUUCAGAACGUCGUGAGACAGUUCGGUCCCUAUCCGUCGCAGGCGUAGGAAAUUUGAGAAGACCUGUCCUUAGUACGAGAGGACCGGGAUGGACGUACCUCUGGUGUACCAGUUGUUCUGCCAAGGGCAUGGCUGGGUAGCUA
rnacentral:rRNA from 1 species